UGGGAAACGGGUUAAUAUUCCCGUACUUCUUACAAUUGCGAUGGGGGGACGGAGAAGGCUAGGUGGGCCUGGCGACGGUUGUCCAGGUUCAAGUGCGUAGGCUUGAGAGUUAGGUAAAUCCGGCUCUUUCUAAGGCUGAGACACGACGUCGAGCACCUACGGGUGUGAAGUCAUUGAUGCCAUGCUUCCAGGAAAAGCCUCUAAGCUUCAGAUUGUAAGGAAUGGUACCCCA
rnacentral:rRNA from 1 species